rnacentral:rRNA from 1 species
UACGAAGGGGGCCAGCGUUGUUCGGAAUUACUGGGCGUAAAGGGCGCGUAGGCGGCUGUGCAAGUCAGAUGUGAAAGCCCUGGGCUCAACCCAGGAUGUGCAUUUGAUACUGCGCGGCUAGAGUGUCGGAGAGGAUGGUGGAAUUCCCAGUGUAGAGGUGAAAUUCGUAGAUAUUGGGAAGAACACCGGUGGCGAAGACGACCAUCUGGACGACAACUGACGCUGAGGCGCGAAAGCGUGGGGAGCAAACAGG